rnacentral:tRNA from 1 species
AAAGAGUUAAUUAAAAAAUAAUAUUGGUUUGUCAAACCAAAAUUACCCUAAAGGUACUCUUUU